CGUCGACUCCUACGGGAGGCAGCAGUGGGGAAUAUUGCACAAUGGGGGAAACCCUGAUGCAGCGACGCCGCGUGAGCGAUGAAGUAUUUCGGUAUGUAAAGCUCUAUCAGCAGGGAAGAAAAUGACGGUACCUGACUAAGAAGCCCCGGCUAACUCCGUGCCAGCAGCCGCGGUAAUACGGAGGAUGCGAGCGUUAUCCGGAUUUAUUGGGUUUAAAGGGUGCGUAGGCGGGACGUUAAGUCAGCGGUAAAAAGGCGGGGCUCAACUCCGUCGAGCCGUUGAAACUGCCGUUCUUGAGUGAGCGAGAAGUAUGCGGAAUGCGUGGUGUAGCGGUGAAAUGCAUAGAUAUCACGCAGAACUCCGAUUGCGAAGGCAGCAUACCGGCGCUCAACUGACGCUGAAGCACGAAGGCGUGGGUAUCGAACAGGAUUAGAUACCCGAGUAA
rnacentral:rRNA from 1 species